GCCCAAGUGGCGGAAUGGUAGACGCAGCGGAUUCAAAAUCCGCCGCCUUCGGGCGUGAGAGUUCGACUCUCUCCUUGGGCACCA
rnacentral:tRNA from 1 species